rnacentral:rRNA from 1 species
AUUGAACGCUGGCGGCAGGCCUAACACAUGCCAGUCGAGCGGAUGAAGGGAGCUUGCUCCUGGAUUCAGCGGCGGACGGGUGUGUAAUGCCUAGGAAUCUGCCUGGUAGUGGGGGAUAACGUCCGGAAACGGGCGCUAAUACCGCCUACGUCCUGAGGGUGAAAGUGGGGGAUCUUCGGACCUCUCGCUAUCAGAUGAGCCUAGGUCGGAUUAGCUAGUUGGUGGGGUAAAGGCCUACCAAGGCGACGAUCCGUAACUGGUCUGAGAGUAUGAUCAGUCACAUUGGAACUGAGACACGGUCCAGACUCCUACGGGAGGGAGCAGUGGGGAAUAUUGGACAAUGGGCGAAAGCCUGAUACAGCCAUGCCGCGUGUGUGAAGAAGGUCUUCGGAUUGUAAAGCACUUUAAGUGGGGAGGAAGGGCAGUAAGAUAAUACCUUGCUGUAUUGACGUUACCAACAGAAUAAGCACCGGCUAACUUCGUG